rnacentral:rRNA from 1 species
GACGAACGCUGGCGGCGUGCCUAAUACAUGCAAGUCGAACGCAGUGGGGACGGGUGAGUAACACGUGGGUAACCUCCCAUCAGAGGGGAUAACAUUUGUAAACAGGUGCUAAACCGAUAGUGAUGGAUGGACCCGCGGUGAAUUAGCUAGUUGGUGAGGUAACGGCUCACCAAGGCCACGAUGCCUAGCAGACCUGAGAGGAUGAUCAGCCACACUGGGACUGAGACACGGCCCAGACUCCUACGGGAGGCAGCAGUAGGGAAGCUUCCGCAAUGGGCGAAAGUCUGAUCGAGCGACGCCGCGUGAGUGAAGAAGGUUUUAGGAUCGUAAAGUUCUGUUGUUAGAGAGGCGGUAUCCAACCAAAAAGCCACGGCUAACUACGUGCCAGCAGCCGCGGUAAUUC